GGUCAAGCUACUAAGGGCACACGGUGGAUGCCUUGGCACUUCGAGGCGAUGAAGGACGUGGCAAGCUGCGAUAAGCUGCGGUGAGGAGCAAGCAUCCUUUGACCCGCAGAUUUCCGAAUGGGGGAACCCACAUGAGCACUACUCAUGUACCUCUGCCUGAAUAAAAUAGGGCAGUCGGAGCAAACCUGGGGAAGUGAACCAUCUCAGUACCCAGAGGAAGAGAAAACAACAGUGAUUCCGCUAGUAGCGGCGAGCGAAAGCGGAACAGCCUAAACCACGAGGACAUGUCUUCGUGGGGUCGUGGGAUCAGACAUUGUGGAGUUACAAAGGUUGAGGUUAGCGGAACGGUUUGGAAAGACCGACCAUAGAGCGUGAUAGUCGUGUACGCGAAAACUUACAACUCUCCCGUCUGACACCCGAGUAAUGCGGAACACGAGGAAUUCUGCAUGAAUUUGCCGGGACCAUCCGGUAAGGCUAAAUACUCCGAAGUGACCGAUAGUGAACCAGUACCGUGAGGGAAAGGUGAAAAGAACCCCGGUGAGGGGAGUGAAAUAGUACCUGAAAC
rnacentral:rRNA from 1 species